UUUCGCAGAGGCUUCUGGGAUCGGGGCCGGUGAGGCUACUGCCGGUACUGUUGCGGAUGCUCCCGGAGGCCAUACGGCUGUGCCGGUCAGCCUCAGGGAAGAGGACAAGGCAGGAUGUCGCUGCGGGUCGUUCCGGCUCAAGGUGUAUCAUUCAGCUCUGCUACUGUGAAUAUGAUUGGCUUAGAGAAGAUUGAAGCUUUGUCCUUCAGUGUAGGCCUGGCUGUUUUCACUUCAUACAAGUUUCUUGUAUGCUGUCGCAAAUGGAAGCGUUUCCUUCCUUUGGUGUGGCAGGCUACCCCAUCUUCACCUAUCCAGAGGAAUUUGAUGGAGCCCCAUAGAUUGGUGUAUGCAUUUAUUCCUUUCGGGAUCCCAAACUUGGUAACAAGGAGAGUGACCUCAAGGACUGCAGUCUGGCAUUUUGGUGCUUAACAGCGGCUGCUGUGCCUUGCUUCCUGCUCUGGCCCCUCUGGAGCUCUUCCCUGUCUUCAUCUUCAGCUGUUAACAGCUAGCCAUCAUUCUUGACCUGACAGCUUCCACCUGGAUGCACUGGUCCAUCACUCUCUGCUGCUGCUUUGUGUUAUCAGCUCAGCCUGCGAUACUAAGUAUAGGUCCUGACUUACACUUUGAGCAAUUUAAGAGGCAGGAGCCUGCAAGUCUGGCCACUUGGACAGCUGGGUAGAUAUCCAGUGCUGUCAACUUAUAGUUUCCACACUGUGUAUGGUUUUCGUGAUCAGAGGAUGGAAGUGUUGGACUAAGGAAUGAUAAUUUCUUUGUCUGUGGACAUGGAAGUACAGCUGAGCCAUCCCUUAUACCCUAAAGAUAAACACUUUCCACCCUCAAUUAACACUUCCAUCCCUGUCCAAGGCUUCUGUGGGAGCCAUGUGGUACUGCUGUAUCUGCUGUGGGAGCUAUGUGGUGCUGUACCUGCUGUGUCAUUUCAAGUAGGGCGUCAAGUAAACUGAACUCAGACACUACACUCUGCUUCUGUGAAAAACAACUGCAAGCAAAGAAGAAGCAAGUGGGAGUGACUCAAGAAAACUUGUUCCAAGGCUACCGAAAGCCUGUGAAUCCAGGCACUGGGUAUAAUUGUUGGAUUCCCUGGAAAAAGACCCAGAGAAGCCAUUGCAUGGAACUGAAAAUAUGAAGCCCAAGUUACAGUGGAGGGACCAGGAUAUUGGCGAUUCUAGAAUUGUGCUUAUCCAUUGAGGAAAGCUGCAAGAACACAGUGGCACAAGCCCAAGACAGAAGUCAUGUGUGCUCUAGGUGCAGAACUAGAAUGCUGACACUACCCAAACUAACACCUCAGAUGACCCCAUCAUGAGCGCUACAUGCUAGCCGUGGAACUAUAGGAUUAGUUGUUAGUUCUAACAGGGGUUUUGUUUUUGCUUUAAUCCAACCUUUCCUUGCUGUUUCUCCAUUAUUUCCCAUUUAGGGUGGGGAUGUUCCUUCUUUGUUUUGUAUAUUAGAAGUGCAUUCUGAGAUGAACAAGAGACUAGGAACCAGGGUAGAAUACUAAGGUGAUAUGUUUGGUGUCCAGUUGGCAGAAGUGGAAUUAUAAUGAUUAAUUUCCGUUGCCAAUUUAACAGGAUUUAGAAUCAUCUAGGAGAUAGCUCUGUGCUUGUAUGUAAGUGCGGAGCUAGACAGAUUUACCUUAGAAGGGAAAUUUUCCCUUAAAUAAAUGUGAUAUCCCAGACAGAAUAAAAGAGGAGAACCAGUAUUCAUCUCUUUAUACUUCCUUCUGCCAUUUACCAAAUAUCAGGUGACUAUAUUUUUGUUUGUUUAUGGAAUCUCCAUUCAUUUCUGGUUUGCGUAUUAUGCUACCCCAGUAGCAAAUCUUAAUGAUUGGAACAUGGAUUUGAGGACACCUAAGUCCAUAUUUCAAGACCAUGCUCACUCAAAUUUGGCUCCAAAUAAGCUAUCUCUUCCUGUUUGAAUUGAGAGCUGUAUUUUUCCUUUCCUUUCCUUCCUUUCUUCUUUCUUUCUUUCCUUUUCUUUUCUUUUCUCGCCCCCCCCCCAUGAGACAGGGUUUCUCUAUGUAGCCCUGGCUGUCCUGGAACUCUGUAGGCCAGCAGGCCUCAAACUCAGAAAUCCACCUGCCUCUGCCUGCCUCUGCCUCCCAAGUGCUGGGAUUAUAGGUGUGCACCACCAUGCCCAGCUGAGCUGUAUUUUUUUCAACACACAAACACUAUAUGUGUAUACACACACAUAAACACACACACACACACACACACACACACACACACACAGUUUUCAUCCAUGGUUCAUACCUCAUUAUUCCUUCUCCGUAACAUGCCUACAAAAACAAUGUCUCAUUUCCAAAUUGGUUCAUAGAUGUACUGACCUUUCCCUGACUUUCUGUCUUGGAUAUGGCCACAAAGAAACUGAGUACCUUUUACCUAUACUGGGUUAUAAGACCCUCUUCAUUCCAAAGGGAUCCAUGCUAUUCAGAGGAAUCUGAACAACACAGGCAUUGCUGGGUUUUCUCAACAGGGUAGGCUCUCUAUCCCUAAAGCAUUCGUUAGUCAUGUCGUAAUAAAAUGCAGAGACAGAUUUAUUCAAUGUGACCAUAUUAGGAAGAGACGGAUACCCCAAGUCCAUCUUUUGGGUACCCACAUGAGCUUUAGGUUUAAAUAGUGGAGGACUGGGACAAGGGACAGGAGAUAUGUGUAAUUAAGCAGGCCUCCUCUGAGUGUGGCUAGUUUAUCAUAUCACCUCAGUCCCAGCCCUGCAAGAUGGUCUGAUGAAGUCCUUAACACUGACACUGCUUGAGAGAUUCAAUCUGGUUCACUGCAGUUGAUUAUUUCUAUACUAGCAUACAGCUGUGCUGUCAUAGAAACUUGCCCUCAUCUGAAGGACUGGCUUUCUGUUGAGAUUCUGCUGUUCCUAGAAUCCAUGGUGACUAUAGGUUUAGGACACUGAUUUAUUCUAGGCAUUUAGCCUUGAAAAGGGGGGAAAGAGUGGAGGCAUCCCUUGAGUGAUUUACAUGCAUGCAUAUGUGCAGAGGUAAGCAAGUAACCGGAAGGAAAAGGGUACAAGCACAGAGUGAAGACAGAAACGCCCGGCUUUCUCCUCACACAUAUUUCUCCUUUUUUAGUUUUUAAUUUUACUAUUUUGAGUCGGGGUUUGUCCAUGUUGCCCUGGAUGUCCUGGAACUCAUUCUGUAGAGCAGGUUGUCCUCAAAGUCAUACAGUUCCACCUGCCUCUUGCUUCCAGAGUGCCGGGGUCAAAGGUGUGUACCACUAUACCCAGAUUGUACAUAUUUCUUUGUUUUUAAACACAUUUUUCAACCUUAUUCAAGUAAUAUAUUUAUUAUCAAUAUGUCAUAAGGAUAUUAACAUGUUCCAAAAAUAAA